rnacentral:lncRNA from 1 species
GAAGGACACUUUUUGCAGUAGGAUGUGCUGGCACGACCCGUCAGAGGCGCCAGCCAGGGUCAGAUUCUAGCCUACCUCCUGUGCUUUCUGGGCGUGAGGUCCAAGAGUUCCACCCCAGAGACCACAUAGCUCAUGACUGCAGCCUGGGAACAGCUCCCCAAUGACUCAGGGCCUCCAUGGGGACCUCCCAAGGGAACCGGCCUGCUUUCUGAGCCACAACCUGGAGCUCUGGAAGGUCAUGGAAGAAGGGGAAAAUCAACAAUGGAGCACGACUCCUGAUGGAGACAUGGAGACUUCAGAUGGGGACAACUCUCCUGGGGGAUCAGCGUGAGUGACUUACAGGAGAAGGAUGCUGCUGAAUUCAGCUCCAGUGGCUUCCAGUGCCCAACGUGCCUUGCUGUGAUGGGAAGGGAAGGCGACAGCACGCUCAGAUGGUGUGCGGAAGGCAAGACAAAGUGUUCUGAGUUCUCUGGCAUCCUAACCAGGUACUCUCUCUCGCCAGGUGCAGUGUGAUGCAGACACACAGAAUAAGUGGCACCCUCUCCCACGCGCGGGCGCGCAGGUUUCCAGACUGCUUUUGUCCACCUCUCUUAGGGAUGAGGACACUGCAGAGUCUUGGCCCUGAAGGCACAUCGCCUUGACCCUUUCCCACUCACUCGUUCACCUGUGAAUUUGUAUAAGCACGACUGACGGACUCUGCCUGCCGCAGGGUGUUGGCUCUGCAUACUGGAUGAAACUUCACCCUCUGCAAACCUUGGUUAGUUUAGUAAAUACAGAGAGAUUUGUGGGUUUUCUUUCCUUGUACUCUCUGGGUUUUUAAGAGGUUUGGAGACAGGCAAUGACUAAUCUUAAACUUUCUGCAAAGAAAUCACAAAGCUGAAUAUACUGUGCUUUCUGUAGGAAAAUCCAAAGCAUAGCCCUAAAUGAGUUGAAGAAUUGGCUAGAAGUGAGUUAGGAGGGGCAGCACGGGGCAGCGGGAAGGGCAGCGGGCUCAGGGCUCUGGGCUGGGGCUGUCCCCACAGGCCUCCCUGCUGUCUCCCUUCCUCCUUCAGACUCUGGAGCGCUCAGUGCUCCCGGAGUUCCUCAUCACUGAGCUAUUACUCGAG